AUGAAGGCGAAUGCCCGUGAGGUCGAAGUACUACUGAAAGGCGUAACCACGAAGAGGGAGAGGGCGAUGGUGGAUGGCCACGCCGACAACGACAAUCUGCUAGGCGUGAUGAUGAAGUCCAACAUGAAAGAAAGCCAAGAAGCCGGAAGCUCCAAGCCGACGAUGACCACCGACGACAUAGUAGGGGAGCUGAAGCUCUUCUAUUUCGCGGGCAUGGAGACAACCGCGGUACUGCUCACAUGGGCCAUGGUCGUGCUAAGCAUGCAUCCCGAGUGGCAGGACCGCGCCCGGGAGGAGGUUCUCCGCGUCUUCGGACAGAACCAGCCGGAUUCUGAGGGCAUAAACCGACUGAAAGUUGUGAGUACAUUACAAGGGAGCCGGUUAUGCAACUUCUCAUAG
rnacentral:rRNA from 1 species